UUUUUUUUAAUGUUACAUAUUCAAAAAAUUCAGUUAUGUCAACAAUCACUAGUUGUGCACAUUUGCCAUUCUUUUGUGGAUUUUCAAGUUCUUUUUGGCCGUGCUAUUUAUCACUAAGUAGGAAUGCUAUAAACAUAAAUUUCCAUGGAGCAAAGCCAAAGAAGUCCUCUCCAAAGUAAUGAUGUCAGCAGCUACGUGGGGCAGCCUAAGUCAGAUCCUGAUUCCUGACCUGGUAGCUCUGGAAGCCUGGUUUACUGAUAAAGCCUCCACUGUCAGACUCUCCAGUCCACAUUAUUAACCCUUUCUUCUCCCUCCCACCUUCAACAGCCGACUUUCCUUAGUGGGGAAAGAAGAAUCCAUAUCAGGAAAAGGUCAGAGCUCCUGACCUACCUCCCAGCAUUUUGGGCUUUUGGAAGAGAAUAAAUAAAAUAAUAUUUUGAAAGUAUGCCAGACUCCUGCGUGGUUGCAUCUCCAAGUACCUCCUUGAGGUCUGUCCACUGGAUGUCACACAGAUCUCAGUGGAACUCCAGACCUGCUCCUGCGCAGUCUCUCUUCCCCCAUUGUCCUCCAUAUCAGCUGAUGAUACACCAUCCUCUAAGAAAUGGAAACAAGAAACUCAACAUUCUUAUCCUACCCCCAGGCAUCGAGUCAUUGCCCAGUCAUAUUUAUUCCUCCUCCAAAAUAAAACUUCACUCCAAUCUGUUUUUAAAGACUUGA